AUGAUCAACACACUCACUCUUCUGCUGGUUGCUCUCUCUCUGCCCUGUUGUACAGGUCAGAGCAUGGAGUCCAUUCCUUCCAGUUCAGUGGUGAAAAAGCCCGGGGAGACUCUCAGUCUCUCCUGCAGGGGAUCUGGCUUCACAUUUAGCUGCUGUGACGUAAGCUGGAUCAGACAACCUGCAGGAAAAGCUCUGGAAUGGAUCGGCCGUGUUUACAGCGAUGCAAGUAGAACAGAUUAUGCCAGCAGCAUGCAAGGACAAAUAGAAGUCACCAGAGAUAAUAGCAAGAGCAUGACGUAUCUGAGACUGUCCAACUUACAGCCAGAGGACUCUGCUGUGUAUUACUGUGCCAAACACAGUGACAAUGCUUUUGACUACUGGGGGAAAGGCACAAUGGUGACAGUCACAUCAGCCCCCGUAACUCCAGUUGCGCCAACUGUGUGGCCUCUGAAGCAAUGUGAUUCUGGGACUGGAACAACAAUCACUCUUGGCUGCCUUGCCACCGACUUCACACCCUCCGCACUGACCUACACAUGGAGCAAAGGCGGGACUGCCUUGACAGACUUCGUCCAGUACCCUCCGACACAGAAAAACAACCUGUACACUGGAAUCAGCCAAAUCAAAAUACCGAGACAGGAAUGGGACCAGAUGCAAACUUUCCGAUGUGUUGCGGGAAAUACAGCGGGACAAUCACAGGUUGAUAUUCGAAAAACACCUGAGUAUAAUGUGGCACCAACCCUUAAAGUGUCAUCCUCCUCUGAUGAGGGACCAGACACUUCCCUUUCCUGCUUUGCCAAAGAUUUUUCUCCAAAACAAUAUGAGAUCAAAUGGCUGAAAAAUGAAGUGGAAAUCUCCAACCCAAGCGAGGUCACACUAACUAAAGAGGGAAGAAGGGAUGAGAAUGGAACUUUACUUUACAAUGCAGCAAGUUUUAUCACAGUAGAGUCCAGUGAGUUGACUGAUGGUGCCUUGUUCGCAUGUCAGUUUAUGGGGAAAAAAAAUGCAACAUUCGAGAAGAAAACCGUCUCAUCAUCUGGCCCUUGUCCACCAAAACCCUCAACUGCAGAUGUGGAUGUAACCAUCAUAGAACCAUCACUGGAGGAUAUGUUUUUAAAUCACAAAGGAACUGUCCAAUGCAAAGUCACUGUAAAGACACCAUCUGUCACUGAAAUUCGCUGGCAGAGCGCUGAUGGAAAACAAAUAGUUGGUGCAGACGUCAUAAAGCCCAAAGACGGACAGGAAGGUGUACCUGGUGGCGUGGCUAAACUUCCCAUCACAUACGAAGAAUGGAUCCGUGGGGACCAGUUUGACUGCGUUGUUGAGGAUCAAAAUUUGCUUGAACCAUUGAAGACACCCUACCAAAGGAUGAACGGAGGACGGAUUCAGCGUCCUUCAGUGUUUAUGCUACCUCCACUAGAACAUACUAAAGAAAACAAGGUGACCCUGACUUGCUAUGUGAAAGACUUCUACCCUAAGGAGGUUUUGGUGUCUUGGCUUGUCAAUGACGAGAGAGCGAGCUCAGAAUAUGAGUUCCACACCACAAAGCCUGUAGGAAGCAAAGCACCCUAUUCUGCUUAUGGACAGUUAUCUCUCACCCUUGAGCAAUGGAAAGACAAUGACGUGGUGUAUAGCUGUGUAGUUUCCCAUGAGUCUGUGGCCAACACAACUAGAGCGAUUGUCAGGUCCAUCGGGUACAGAACAUCUCAACAAACCAACAUGGUCAACCUCAGCAUGAACAUGCCUGAAACGUGCAAGGCCUAGUAGAUGUCCCUGUGUGUCUCUGUGUCUUCUGCUCUUUAUUGUUUAAUGUUUGUUGCUUGUGAUGACAUUGUGUUUGUCUUUUUAAUGCAGAUUUAAAAAUAAAAAUAAAAAAAGCACUCUGUUGAUGUA